AACGAACGUUAGCGGCGCGCUUAACACAUGCAAGUCGUGCGAGAGAGGGGAAACCCCGGUAAAGCGGCGCACGGGUGAGUAACACGUAGGUAAUCUACCCCCAGGUGGUGGAUAACCUUCCGAAAGGAGGGCUAAUACAGCAUGAGACCACGGGCUCGCAAGAGCUUGAGGUCAAAGCCGGCCUCUUCAUUAAAGCUGGCGCCAGGGGAUGAGCCUGCGGCCCAUCAGCUAGUUGGUAGGGUAACGGCCUACCAAGGCGAAGACGGGUAGCUGGUCUGAGAGGAUGAUCAGCCACAGUGGAACUGAGACACGGUCCAGACUCCUGCGGGAGGCAGCAGUGGGGAAUCUUGCGCAAUGGGCGAAAGCCUGACGCAGCGACGCCGCGUGAGUGAUGAAGGCCUUCGGGUUGUAAAGCUCUGUGGGGAGGGACGAAUAAGUGUUGGCUAACAUCCAGCAUGAUGACGGUACCUCUUUAGCAAGCACCGGCUAACUCUGUGCCAGCAGCCGCGGUAAUAC
rnacentral:rRNA from 1 species